rnacentral:rRNA from 1 species
UACGUAGGGGGCAAGCGUUGUCCGGAAUCAUUGGGCGUAAAGAGCGUGUAGGCGGUCCGGUCAGUCGGUUGUGAAAGUCAAGGGCUCAACCCUUGAAUGCCGGCCGAUACUGUCAGGCUAGAGUCCGGAAGAGGCGAGUGGAAUUCCUGGUGUAGCGGUGAAAUGCGCAGAUAUCAGGAGGAACACCUAUGGCGAAGGCAGCUCGCUGGGACGGUACUGACGCUGAGACGCGAAAGCGUGGGGAGCAAACAGG